CCACCUGGAACACUUCCGGGGCCUGAAUAAGAGGAGCCGCCUCACUCCAUUGAGGGGCCAGAUUGGGAGGAAGGAGACAAAGCCUGAGCAUGAGUGGAGGCAGAUGGACUGGCAGAAAGGAAGGGACUGGACUGUAUAUUGGUGUGGUGUUGGUGGUUUGUGCACUUAUAAUUAUAAAUAAACACGGGUGUUGAAUUGAACCUUUGUGCUGCCUGUCUCUGUCGGAAGUCAGGGUGGCGGUAUGCCCCCUAGUGGCUUACAAUAGAAAAGAACCACCCCCUUCAAAACAUUC